rnacentral:lncRNA from 1 species
CAUGGAUUCCAUGCUUACCACGUACAUUCAAAGGGACUUUAAGAAUAAGUUGAUCAAGUAUUGAGGUAUAUUAAGAAUCAUUUAGCCUUGACGGAUUUAGAAGAAUAGUACGAUUCAACUAAAGAAAAUUCAUGAAGAUGCCAAUAAUUAAAAGAAAAAGGGAAAAAGGAUCUUGAAAACUCUAGUAUGAUAAGGAACCACAAAUAACAUCUGUUACUUCAAAAACCAUCACACCCAUUUAGUUUCGUACACACUUAUCUUGGAGGAUGUGAAUAUGAAACAGAAUAGUAAAAGUAAACCGUUGUAUUGGUGAACUUU